ACUCCUGCGGGAGGCAGCAGUGGGGAAUAUUGGACAAUGGGCGCAAGCCUGAUCCAGCCAUGCCGCGUGAGUGAUGAAGGCCCUAGGGUUGUAAAGCUCUUUCACCGGUGAAGAUAAUGACGGUAACCGGAGAAGAAGCCCCGGCUAACUUCGUGCCAGCAGCCGCGGUAAUACGAAGGGGGCUAGCGUUGUUCGGAUUUACUGGGCGUAAAGCGCACGUAGGCGGACUAUUAAGUCAGGGGUGAAAUCCCGGGGCUCAACCCCGGAACUGCCUUUGAUACUGGUAGUCUUGAGUUCGAGAGAGGUGAGUGGAAUUCCGAGUGUAGAGGUGAAAUUCGUAGAUAUUCGGAGGAACACCAGUGGCGAAGGCGGCUCACUGGCUCGAUACUGACGCUGAGGUGCGAAAGCGUGGGGAGCAAACAGGAUUAGAAACCCUAGUAGUCCCA
rnacentral:rRNA from 1 species